rnacentral:rRNA from 1 species
CAGUAGCCGCGGGAAAACAGAGGGUGCGAGCGUUAAUCGGAUUUACUGGGCGUAAAGCGUGCGUAGGCGGCUUCUUAAGUCGGAUGUGAAAUCCCUGAGCUUAACUUAGGAAUUGCAUUCGAUACUGGGAAGCUAGAGUAUGGGAGAGGAUGGUAGAAUUCCAGGUGUAGCGGUGAAAUGCGUAGAGAUCUGGAGGAAUACCGAUGGCGAAGGCAGCCAUCUGGCCUAAUACUGACGCUGAGGUACGAAAGCAUGGGGAGCAAACAGGAUUAGAUACCCCAGUAGUCCCUGUCUCUUAUAA